CCCUUAGAUGUCCUGGGCUGCACGCGCGCUACACUGAUGUGUCCAGUAAGCACCUAACCUCUUCCGAAAGGAACGGGUAACCUUUGCAAAGCUCAUCGUGAUGGGGAUAGAUUAUUGCAAUUAUUAGUCUUGAACGAGGAAUUCCUAGUAAGCACAAGUCAUCAGCUUGUGUUGAUUACGUCCCUGCCCUUUGUACACACCGCCCGUCGCUCCUACCGAUUGAAUGUUCCGGUGAGCUCUUCGGACUGCGCGGUCUGCAGUUUCUGCGUUCCGUGCGGAAAGUUGCGCAAACCUUAACAUUUAGAGGAAGGAGAAGUCGUAACA
rnacentral:rRNA from 1 species